rnacentral:rRNA from 1 species
UACAGAGGGGGCAAGCGUUGUUCGGAAUUACUGGGCGUAAAGGGCGCGUAGGCGGCCUUCUAAGUCGAAUGUGAAAUCUCCGGGCUCAACUCGGGAACUGCGUCCGAUACUGGAAGGCUUGAAUCCGGGAGAGGGAUGCGGAAUUCCAGGUGUAGCGGUGAAAUGCGUAGAUAUCUGGAGGAACACCGGUGGCGAAGGCGGCAUCCUGGACCGGUAUUGACGCUGAGGCGCGAAAGCCAGGGGAGCAAACGGG